GGGUGGGUGAGGGUCAUUGGCCGGGGUAGACAGGCUACUGUGAGUGUAGUGGUCUCGCUAGAGGGCUGUCCUGAGCGGGGGCAAUAGUUGCAGUGGCUGUGUCAGAGUUGGUGGCUACGGAGGAGAGGGUGUCCCAGUGCCAGAGCAGCAGUGUAAGCCGCCAGCCUGAGAGAGCAGGGAGAGAACAGAGACACACAGACUAGACACCAGGGUGACUGUGACAGAGGAAGGGUGGCUCGGAUGCAUGCAGAGGGAUUAGUUGGCUUUAAAAAUUCACACAAACAGACAAAGUAAUAGACAAAAGCAACUUAAAGAAGCGAAUAUUAGGCCUAGUAAGAAAAGAAAAACAGGCGUCAUGCUGUGAGUGGACAUUAAAGGAUACAUCCCUACACAGCACCAACAUGGAUACACUGACUAGAAAAACUAAUGCACUAAAAAAAAGUACGAGUCUUCCUGUAGAAAAACUACAGCACCACGCAGAACCACCUAUAAGGGUUAAACAGUACCAGUGACAAUCUUAUGUGAUCUACUUUUCCCACACUGCCGAUAUGAGUGAUGGCUUGCUGUGGUUGUCAAAAUGACUUCAUAUGAGUUGACCACACUCAAGAGGGUAAAAAGCAUUUCUGUGUCUUUAACUGGUAUUGCUUCAACCUUGAUAAUAAUGAAAUAAAUCUCCAAUGGCUUGGAGAGGAAACACAAAGUGCAGUAAUUCCCUUUCAGAGGGUAUAAAAACAGAAUAUUUUGACAUAAAGCAACACACUUCAGUGCACUCCACUCAAGAAUGGACUGAACUCUUCGAGAUGGUUUUAAAUUGAGCAGAACCUGAGGCCGAAUAUGUCCAGUUCUUUAAAACACUGUAAUUCUUUGAAGUGGAGAUGCAUUGUACAACAGUUAAAACAUGAUUCAUUAGGCUGUGUGCUGCAUUUCAGCCUGUACUCACUCUGGCUCUGUGAGGGGUGUGGUUUCAUUGGGUUUCUGUUGGUCCUGCUGCGUUGUGAUGGGCUGUGCACUCGUCCUCUGUUCGAACUUCAACAAUUGGCUCUUUGGGACUCAUCUUUCCUGAAUGCAGCCUUGCGCCUCUUCUAAGUUGUGUCCUUUGGUUCCUGUGCCUGAUUUGCCGCAGAGACACAUGAUGAGGCCACAUUUGUUGACAAAGUAACAGGUGACAUCCACAGCGAGCAGGAGGAGCAUGAACACUACAACAAGGAUCCCUGCCCAGAGCAUGAUGCCCAUGGAGAGCACAGAGUCCUCCCCCAUAUCUGCCGGACAGGGAAGAGAGGGAACAGUGAUCAACUGUAGUGUGACACACUUUAACAGAAACAGCCACCAACCACUACAUAAUGUGACUAUUUACCAAGUGCUGCUACUGAAACCAAAUAGUUUCAUAAAACAGAGAUAACUCACCUGCUAUGCCUUUGAUUUGACUAGACGUCUCAGCAACAAAAUCAGAUGCAGUGCAAUAUGUUUUUGUAGCCUGUUGUGUCUGGGCUGGUGUUAAAUUAUGUCAUUUUCACUAUGAGAAAUGUGUAUGACACUGACUGUUCUGAAAGCCAUUCCAGUAAAUGAACCCAUUUAUUUGGUAUUAGAGGCAAACAAAAGCUUACAAUGUGUUGCUAGUUUCCCCAAAAAAUAGCAGUCUCUGAUUAAAAUGAGUGGAGUUUUUCCCACAUAUCCCAAAAGGUUGUGAUGCAUCUUUGCUGUUUGUCUGAAAUCCAUUAAUUAUGUCAGAAUACUACAUAAAAAGAACACUAAUUUAAAAUAUCCUCGCUUUCAAAUCAAAGUUAUCUUUAUAAUUACCAACAACUACAAAAUGAGAUCUGCUAAACAAAAGAAAAUACAAUGGAGUGAUGCACCAUUCAGUUAUAAAUGUAUAAAAACAGUUAGCUACUUGUAAUCUGACACAUCACAUGCAUGAGAAUUAUCUGGACAUUGUUCAUUUGUUUUAGUAAAACAAAAAAGGUUCAUGAUGAUCACUUUGUGUACAGCAUGUCAAACAGAACCAGUUACAAAGAUGUCUUUCUUUGUUAGGUAUUUCUGUUCUAAAUAAUGUAAACAAUGUUAAAAAUCUUUACAUAGAAAUGAUUUUGUGAGAUUAAACAGUGCUACAUAAUCCAAUAUGUCCAGUUCUUAGUCUCAUUGUAAGUGCUAUUGUUUUAAUUCGACCUCGUAUGAAAUCCACUAAUGUUCAGGACUGUAAACUUGCACUGUUGUCUAGUGCCGAUGACUUGCUGUGCUAAUACUGGGCAGGGUGACUCUGGGAGGCGGAGGAUUUCCACUGCCUUUGGUUCAGUAUGUCUGUCUGGUCUGUUCUGAAGCUACGCAGCAUCCUUUUCUCAUGCACAACAGAGAUGCGUCUGUCAUGGACAAAGUCUGUUUUAAGGAGUCAAAGCGUCCACAUAGACAGCCAGGCCAGAGAAAGGCAAGCUCUCCUCUACAGUUAUGGUUGUGAAUUCCCCACAAAACUAUGAGAGCAGGAACACAGUGAUGAGGGACAGGAUGAGUGAUACCAAA